AACAAAAUUGCUGGGCCUUUGUUUCUCCCCUGUCUCUUUGCUACUGUCUUGGGGUGAUUUUAUGAUGGUGCCACAUUCCCUAAUCAUCUGCUUUAUGCUUAGAAAGGCUGUUGUAUCUUUAAGAUGAACCUGGGGCGGGGCCGGAGCCUGGGAGCCCCAGGCGCGGGCUCUGUUCAAACUCUCUCUCUCGGGACCGGGGACGCUGCAUUGUUCCUUUUGUUGAAUUGGUUUUUUGCUAGCUUGAAGCAAGAAGUUAUUUUUUCCCUUCCUCUCCCCUAGCCUGGAGGCUGUACCGGGAAUCCUCUUGGCGGCUUUUUGAUUUUUUUUUUUUUUUUUUUUUUUUUUUUUUUUUUUUCUUCUUGAACUGUUUCGGCUUGGCUUGGCUUUCUUUUCGGCCUGUCCGGUGAGCCGGCAGGGGACUGCCCUGAACCCGAGACCUUGGGGGAGCUGAACCAACAUGAGAAAGAACAUUAAAAUCCACCAACUUCACCUGCUGCGAGGAGGAGACCCAACGCCAAAAAUCCAACAGGUUCCCAGCUGCUGUGUGAACUCUUCUCCCCCCUUCCCAGAGACGGAGAAGGGCAGCCACCAUCUUUGCUUCUCGGCCACACGAAGAAAACGGAGUUAUUGAAGUCCUUUCCCUGUAGAGGAAACGUUAAUUCCAGGGCGUUUUCUCCUGAAAUUUGUCUCCAAAACCGAGACUACAAAACCGAGCUACUCAUUGGGGUUUAGAUAGAUUGACUCCUCAUCCAUGAAGCAGUAAGUGAAAGAUAUUUGUGCUGUGGCUCAUUACUUGAGGUCUCUGCAUCUGUCUAGAGCCAGCAAAUUCCCACUGCCCACCAUGAAGCCUGGAGCUGAAUGAGAGACCUUGGUGACCUGGCUGAGGACACAGUGGAGGAGCAGUGUUGUCCAUUCUGCUCUCCCUCUGUGCCUUGGGGUGGACUGGAGCACUGGCAUACAACUUGAGUUGUGUUGAAGCUGCCCCAUUAACUUACAGUAAACCUCUUCAGCACACUCUCUGUGAAUAUUUAGUUGUUAUUAUGAAAAAACCUGCA